rnacentral:rRNA from 1 species
AGGGAAAGCUGGCGGCAGGCUUAACACAUGCAAGUCGAACGGUAACAUAAAGGAGCUUGCUUCUUUGAUGACGAGUGGCGGACGGGUGAGUAAUGCUUGGGAAUCUAGCUUAUGGAGGGGGAUAACUACGGGAAACUGUAGCUAAUACCGCGUAGAAUCGGGAGAUGAAAGUGUGGGACCUUCGGGCCACAUGCCAUAGGAUGAGCCCAAGUGGGAUUAGGUAGUUGGUGAGGUAAAGGCUCACCAAGCCGACGAUCUCUAGCUGGUCUGAGAGGAUGACCAGCCACACUGGGACUGAGACACGGCCCAGACUCCUACGGGAGGCAGCAGUGGGGAAUAUUGCGCAAUGGGGGCAACCCUGACGCAGCCAUGCCGCGUGAAUGAAGAAGGCCUUCGGGUUGUAAAGUUCUUUCGGUAGCGAGGAAGGCAUUUAGUUUAAUAGACUAGGUGAUUGACGUUAACUACAGAAGAAGCACCGGCUAACUCCGUG